rnacentral:misc_RNA from 1 species
GGAAGAUGUAUUAACCCUGUACUAAAAGUAAACUUUUAUUAGGUCUAAAACUCAAGACCUACAUAAACCGGUUUGAUAACUAUCGGGCCACUUACUAGUCAAGUCUAUCAAGACCAAACAGUAAUUGUAAUGCGUACUGUUUUAAAUGACUUCAGUUUAUAAAUAGAUAUUAAUGCUCCAAGAGUGAUCUUGCCUUCUGGUUUGUCUUUUAUAAUUGAAGAUAAUGAUGUACAUACAUGUAUAUUGGAUAUAGUGCCAUCAAGUUUCUAUAGUGCGAUAUUUCUGAUAAAUAAGAGUUCAACAAAGCAUUUUAAAAAUAAGAGUCAAACAAUAGCAUUGAACUUUAUCACCAGGUUUUCUCUGUAUUGAGCUAUACAUGUAUGUAUAAAGCAAGCUAGUUCUACUACAUGAAUAUAUUACAUAAAUCAAAGCUUGUAAAGAGUAAUUUCUUUUUAUUGUAGUAAAUCUCUGUCAGAAUUCUUCUUUAAAUUGUACAUCUUCCAAAUUAAGAUAUUGUUUUUCUGUCCACCAAUAAUGUCCAUGCUUUCUAAUUAAACUGAUGAAUCCUC